CCUACGGGGGGCAGCAGUGGGGGAUAUUGCACAAUGGGGGGAACCCUGAUGCAGCGACGCCGCGUGAGCGAUGGAGUACUUCGGUAUGUAAAGCUCUAUUAGCAGGGAAGAAAAUGACGGUACCUGACUAAGAAGCUCCGGCUAACUACGUGCCAGCAGCCGCGGUAAUACGUAGGGGGCAAGCGUUAUCCGGAUUUACUGGGUGUAAAGGGAGCGUAGACGGGUAGACAAGUCAGUAGUGAAAGCCCAGGGCUCAACCUUGGGACUGCUUUUGAAACUGGCGGGCUGGAGUGCAGGUGAGGUAGGCGGAAUUCGUGGUGUAGCGGUGAAAUGCGUAGAUAUUAGGAGGAACACCAGUGGCGAAGGCAGCUUACUAGACUGUAACUGACGUUGAGGCUCGAAAGCGUGGGGAGCAAACAGGAUUAGAUACCCUAGUAGUC
rnacentral:rRNA from 1 species